rnacentral:tRNA from 1 species
CCUUCGAUAGCUCAGUUGGUAGAGUGGAGGACUGUAGGUUGAUAAUUACAGGCAUCCUUAGGUCGCUGGUUCAAUUCCGGCUCGAAGGA